rnacentral:lncRNA from 1 species
GCAGGGCCUCGGGUGUGGCCUCUUGGUGAGCCUCACUCCUGACCUUGCCAGGGCGGCCACAGUGUCAGAGGGAGCAGGAAGGACGAGGGGUGGAGCCGGCGCACACGUGGUGCUUGGGGUGGUUUUGCUGUGGAAGGAGCAGGCCUGGCAGCGUGGGAGAACUGACAAGGCGUUUGUGGCCUGUGGCAGAAGAAGAGAGGGGCGUGCUCAGCCUGGUCCUUGGGUGGACAAGGGCUGGGAUCCAGGGCAGUCGCGAAUGGGUGGCCCCUGUCACCUGGCAGGACGUGGGCGGUGACGGGAGGGAAGGGCAGCAGACCUGGGCACGGACAGGGCAGUUUCUGUGGGUCAAGAAUCCAGGAACGCAGUGAUUUCUUGGAUCCGACAACGAAAGCAUAGGCAAUAAAAGAAAAAACUAGAUCAAGGGGACUACAUCAAAAUUUAAAACUUCUUCAUGUCAAAGGACAAUCGACAGUGUGAAAAGAGAACCCAUGAAAUGGGAGAAAAUAGUUGCAAAUCGUGUAUCUGCUAAGGGAAUGACGUCCAGAAUAUGUAAAGAACCCCUGCAACUCAGCUCUGGAACAAACAGCCUGAUGCAGAAACCGGCAAAGGACCUGAACAGGUGUUUCUCCAAAGGCAACGCCCACAAGCCCCUGAAAAGGUGCUCAAAGUCACUGGUAUGAGGGAAAUGCAAGCUGACACCACAGUGAGACGGUGCCUCACACCCAUCAGGACGGCUGCUCUCAAAACACGGAAAACGACAAGUGUUUCUUGUUGGAGGAUGAGGAGAAAUUGGGGUGUUGUGUGCUGUUGGUGGGGAUGUGAAUUUGUAUAGCUGCUGUGGAAAACAGGGUGCAGGUUCCUCCAAAAAUUAAACACAGAAUUACUGUGUGAUCCAGCAAUCCUACUUUUGGGUCUUUCCCCAAAAGAAGUGAAAGCAGGGUCUUGAUGACAUACUGCACACCCGUGUUCACAGCAGCAUUGUUCACAACAGCAAAAACGAGGAAGCAACCUCAGUGUCCCUUGAUGGAUGAAUGGCGUUAAAAAGAAAACCACAGGCCCCAAACAAUGUUAUUUGUGCUAAAGCCCAUGACAUGAGCCUGGAUUUGAGGCCUGAUCUAACUGCACUUUCAGCCUCUCCCAGAAACGUCAUCUUAAUCGACCAGUCUGGAAUUUUCUGGUCAACACCAGUCGGGUAAUCGCUCACCUGGGCCCUCUUGGCUCCCCAGAAGAAGAGGCAUCCAUGUGACAAAGCCCCUACCUUUCCUUCCCCCAGGAGACAAGGAGACGCCCUGGCCCCAAGUUAGCCUUCCUUUUCUUUUCUGGGAGCUCCCUGCCCGACCCUCCUUCCUAUUGCAGCCUGCAGAGCUCCCUUCUAGUGGCUAGAUGAGGUGCUGCCCGAUUCAGAGGCGCUUAGUGAAGCCAAUUAGAGCUUCCCAUUUACUCAGUUGAAUUUUGGUUUUAACAAUGGACGAGCAAAACGUGGCAUAUCCAUAUGUGAUGUUGUGAUUUAUAAUAAACAUGUAUUUGGUGUUCAUCUGUGAUUCCUGGCUCACGGCUCCCAAAAUGCUUGGAAAUUCCUGAGCAACAAUAACAAUGGGAGCAUCUUUUGUUAGAAUAUUUGGUCUCUCAUUCUCAGUUCCUCAAAUUGCUUCAGAGCCAUGAAGGUGACAUGGGUGUCUUUUUUUUAAAUUAUUUUUUAUUGUGGUAACAUUGGUUUAUAACAUUAUAUAAAUUUCGAGUGUACAUCAUUGUUGUGUAUAUUUUGAUUUCUGUGUAGAUUACAUCAUGUUCACCACCCAAAGACUAAUUACAAUCCAUCACCACACAUUUACGCCUAAUCAUCCCUUUCGUCCUGCUGCCUCCCCUCUUCCCCUCUGGUGACCACCAAUCCAGUCUCUGUUUCUGUGUGUUUAUCUGUCGCUGUUUUAAUCUUCUACUUAUGAGUCAGAUCAUAUGGUAUUUGACUUUCUCCCUCUGACAUUUCACCUAACAUAAGGUCCAUCCCUGUUGUCACGCCAGAUUUUAUAGCUUCUUAUGGCUGAGUCGUACUCGGUUGUGUAUAUAUAGCACAUAUUCUGUAUCCACUCGUCCCUUGAUGGCCACCUAGGCUGCUUCCAAGUCUUGGCUGAUGAGGAUUUUUAGACUGGUUAAUUUUAAAACUACAGAUGAGAGGCAGGCUCCGAGGAGUGGAAUUUGCUUGCCCCUUUGUUGGGAAAUAUUUACAUUUCUAAGGGAAACCUCUAUCUGUAAAGAUGCCUCCCUCUCUGUGCCAGGAAGAAGGGGGAUGGCCUUAUCUCUAGAAACUCUUAAUGCCAGAGACAAGAAUUUAAGUUGGUUGCUGUCUGGCAAUCUCAUGUAACUGAUUUAGGGUGGUGGCUUCUGACCUUUACUUAAUCCGAUUUGAUUCUUGUCUAAAAGUCAUGGGAUCACCCAAUGACCAGACCCCACCUGCACUGAUACCAUUUUAACUUUUUUUCGUGUUCUUUCCUUUGUCUUGUAAAAAGAUGACUCACAUACCCAUGCCUUAUAAAAUCAGCCCUAACCCUCAACUCGGGGCAGCAGCAGGAGCUCCUCCUGCCCGUGGGCCCUGUCCCCACGCAGCAGAAGCUCUGACUGCCCAUGGGUCCUGUCCCCAUGCUAUUCUAUUCUCUAAAUAAAAGAGCACUACUGCCAGA